rnacentral:rRNA from 1 species
GGGUGGACAGGUGGUGCAUGGUUGUCGUCAGCUCGUGUCGUGAGAUGUUGGUUAAGUCCCGCAACGAGCGCAACCCUCGACCUUAGUUGCCAGCAUUCAGUUGGGCACUCUAAGGUGACUGCCGGCUAAAAGUCGGAGGAAGGUGGGGAUGACGUCAAAUCAUCAUGCCCCUUAUGACCUGGGCUACACACGUGCUACAAUGGGCGGUACAAAGGGUCGCGAACCCGCGAGGGGGAGCCAAUCCCAAAAAGCCGCUCUCAGUUCGGAUUGCAGGCUGCAACUCGCCUGCAUGAAGCCGGAAUCGCUAGUAAUCGCGGAUCAGCAUGCCGCGGUGAAUACGUUCCCGGGCCUU